AAUAAUAUUAGGCCCCAGUAAUUUAAAUGCGAAAGUAUAAAAAGAGAAUUUCUCGAGUAAUAAUUUAUGAACAUAAACACCGUCUCAUAAUAGUUUUUUGAGUUGGAUCUUUUCCCGAAACAGCGAUUUGUUAACCAAGCAGACUGCGUCCUAGCGUUUUAUGAGUCGUUUGUAUCUUUGAAUGAACUGAAGGAGCCGAUUCGCUUAAAUUAACUGGAGGUGGUCUCUUUAAAUAUCCCAGAAUUCCUCACACCGCUCACACGUGUUCAUUGCCUCCCGCACCGCACUGUUGCAGACAGUCACAGAAAGAUCGCACAACAUGAGCAGACGCAGUAUGGGUGUCGAUUGUCCAUCUGAACCUCCUGACUGAAGAGAAGCUUGCCAGUUUCUACGAUGUCUUCCCUGUAAAGGCUCAUAUAUUGGUUUGGCCCUUAGGCACAGCUGUGUGGAAAAAAACCUUCUCUACCCAUUAAUUGCCAAUGACAAAGGCAGAGAAUGUAAGAACUACAGUCAUUAGAUUCCAUUGAUGGCUUCAUUUUGGGGGCACAUGGAUUCAGUGACUGGCUUGUUCCUCGGAAGUGAUGCAGCUUGAGAAGAGCUAAUUUUAUUUCCAUGUUUGGAGAAUGUAAAAUGAGUGGGGGAGUUUUUGUAAACCAUGUUUAUGUAAUGCACAAUUUUGAAAGUUAUGCAUUGAUUGUUACCAAUAAAGAAAGAUGCUUACUUGAAGUGUUUUUAUUUUCUCUUUUUUUUUCUGCUCUUAACAUUGAGUCAUGGAUCAUGAUCCAUGUUACCAGGAAAUUACUGUCUUAGCCAUGGUUAAUCUGUAUUUAGCAUGGGUUCUAUGCAUUUUAUUUCCUUGGAAGAAGAAACCUCAGAAACUUCAAUUAAGACUGAUCUGUUUAAAUGGUUGGCAUGUUUAACUGUUGAUGCUUUUGCUUUCAUCUAAAGGGGAGGUUAGUAAAUCAAAUCUGUUUAUAGUUGGAUCACUAUUUGUCUCCAUGUAAGUCUAAGACAAAGUGGUGUGUUUUCAAAAUUCAAGGCACAUUUGGGGUAAGUGUCUUAAACUUUUUCUGUGAAGCUGCGUUGUAACGAUCAUGAAAUGCAUUAUAUAAAGUGUAUUUAAUUGAAAUA